UGCUGUGGCUGUGGUGCAGGCCGGCAGCUUUGGCUCUGAUUAGACCCCUAGCCUGGGAGCUUCCAGGGUACGGCCCUAAAAGAAAAAAAAAAAAAAAAAAAGAAGUGGCAGUUUGCUGUCCCUUCUUCCCCACCAGCACUGGCGAACCCUCCGAAGCAGAGUGAGCAAAGGAGCUGGAGCAGGAGGAAAGACAGGAGUUUGCUUGCUGCCACGGCUGGUCAGACUGCAGCUUUGAAUGAGCUGGAAAACAAGGUUCUUACCCAAGAGACGAGAUACCAUUCCCCCGCACUGUACUGCAGGACCCAUCACCCAGCAGUCAGAGGGACUCUUUAGUGCUGCCGGGGAAACCAGCACCAGGCCCCAAAGAGGACAGCAGCGUCAAGGAGGUGCCUGAUCUCGCUUCCUUCAGAAGUCCUUGCCAACCUGGAAAGAGAGGGUCUCUUGGACAAAGACAUGUGAGAAACGCUGUCCCGUGGUGAGCGGCCCCCAGAGCCAGCCCUGUUUUUCCAGUAACUUCUUUUCCCUCAUGGCCCUGGGAUUUACAGCACGACCCAGGAUGUCAGUAACAAAGAGGACAUACCAAGAGACUGAAGGGAAGCUGCUCUGAGAAGCAGGACAAGCCCCAGCUCUUUGAAUCCCAGAUUCUUUCU
rnacentral:lncRNA from 9 species